rnacentral:rRNA from 1 species
CCUACGGGCGGCAGCAGUGGGGAAUAUUGCACAAUGGGCGCAAGCCUGAUGCAGCCAUGCCGCGUGUAUGGAGAAGGCCUUCGGGUUGUAAAGUACUUUCAGCGGGGAGGAAGGCGGUGAGGUUAAUAACCUCAUCGAUCGACGUUACCCGCAGAAGAAGCACCGGCUAACUCCGUGCCAGCAGCCGCGGUAAUACGGAGGGUGCAAGCGUUAAUCGGAAUUACUGGGCGUAAAGCGCACGCAGGCGGUCUGUCAAGUCGGAUGUGAAAUCCCCGGGCUCAACCUGGGAACUGCAUUCGAAACUGGCAGGCUAGACUCUUGUAGAGGGGGGUAGAAUUCCAGGUGUAGCGGUGAAAUGCGUAGAGAUCUGGAGGAAUACCGGUGGCGAAGGCGGCCCCCUGGACAAAGACUGACGCUCAGGUGCGAAAGCGUGGGGAGCAAACAGGAUUAGAUACCCGGGUAGUC